CGUAACACGUAUGCAAUCUGCCCGCAACAGGAGGAUAGCUCCCCGAAAGGGGAAUUAACCCUCCAUAGGACCACACGAAGGCAUCUGAGAGUGGUUAAACCAAAAGGGGUUGCGGAUGAGCAUGCGGUUGAUUAGCUAGUUGGUAAGGUAACGGCUUACCAAGGCGAUGAUCAAUAGGGGAACUGAGAGGUUUAUCCCCCACACUGGCACUGAGAUACGGGCCAGACUCC
rnacentral:rRNA from 1 species